GACGAACGCUGGCGGCGUGCUUAACACAUGCAAGUCGAACGGAAAGGCCCUGCUUUUGUGGGGUGCUCGAGUGGCGAACGGGUGAGUAACACGUGAGUAACCUGCCCUUGAUUUUGGGAUAACUUCAGGAAACUGGGGCUAAUACCGGAUAGGAGCUCCUGCUGCAUGGUGGGGGUUGGAAAGUUUCGGCGGUUGGGGAUGGACGCGCGGCUUACCAGCUUGUUGGUGGGGUAGUGGCUUACCAAGGCUUUGACGGGUAGCCGGCCUGGGAGGGUGACCGGCCACAUUGGGACUGAGAUAGGGCCCAGACUCCUACAGGAGGCAGCAGUGGGGAAUAUUGCACAGUGAGCGGAAGCCUGAUGCAGCAACGCCGCGUGCGGGAUGACGGCCUUCGGGUUGUAAACCGCUUUCGCCUAUGACGAAGCGUGAGUGACGGUAAUGGGUGAAGAAGCACCGGCUAACUACGUG
rnacentral:rRNA from 1 species